GUACGUAGAGUGUAAAGGCAAAAGAGAGCUUGAUUGCAAGACAUACAGGUCGAGCAAGGAUGAAAAUCGGACUUAGUGAUCCGGUGGUUCUGCGUGGAAGGGCCAUCGCUCAACGGAUAAAAGCUACCCUGGGGAUAACAGGCUUAUCUCCCCCAAGAGUCCACAUCGACGGGGAGGUUUGGCACCUCGAUGUCGGCUCAUCACAUCCUGGGGCUGUAGUAGGUCCCAAGGGUUGGGCUGUUCGCCCAUUAAAGUGGUACGCGAGCUGGGUUCAGAACGUCGUGAGACAGUUCGGUCCCUAUCCGUCGCAGGCGUAGGAAAUUUGAGAAGACCUGUCCUUAGUACGAGAGGACCGGGAUGGACGUAUCUCUGGUGUACCAGUUGUCCUGCCAAGGGCAUGGCUGGGUAGCUAUGUACGGAAUGGAUAAGCGCUGAAAGCAUCUAAGCGCGAAGCCAACUUCAAGAUAAGAUUUCCCACCGCAAGGGUAAGACCCCAGAAAGACUAUCUGGUUGAUAGGUCGAAGGUGUAAGUGCAGCAAUGUAUUUAGCUUAUCGAUACUAAUAGGUCGAGGACUUGACCAAU
rnacentral:rRNA from 1 species